GCACUACUGACGAGUCCAAAACAGGACGAAACAGCGGUCCAGUGC
rfam:Echinostoma caproni strain Egypt genome assembly, scaffold: ECPE_scaffold0003779